CUCCUACGGGAGGCAGCAGUCGGGAAUUUUGCGCAAUGGAGGAAACUCUGACGCAGUGACGCCGCGUGCAGGAGGAAGGUUUUCGGAUUGUAAACUGCUUUAGACAGGGAAGAAACAAGACAGUACCUGUAGAAUAAGCUCCGGCUAACUACGUGCCAGCAGCCGCGGUAAUACGUAGGGAGCAAGCGUUAUCCGGAUUUAUUGGG
rnacentral:rRNA from 1 species